GGCUUUAUAGUCAACAAUGAUAUUAAACUGCAAUUUUAAAGGAGUGAUUAUCACUAAGGCCU
rnacentral:tRNA from 1 species